rnacentral:rRNA from 1 species
AUAGUCUGAGACCUGAUGCCGAGCCGAUUGUGGUGAAGUGGAUGAUCCUAUGCUGUCGAGAAAAGCCUCUAGCGAGUUUCAUGGCGGCCCGUACCCUAAACCGACUCAGGUGGUCAGGUAGAGAAUACCGAGGCGUUCGGGUGAACUAUGGUUAAGGAACUCGGCAAAAUGCCCCCGUAACUUCGGGAGAAGGGGGGCCAUCACUGGUGAGAGGACUUGCUCCUCGAGCUGGGGGUGGCCGCAGAGACCAGCGAGAAGCGACUGUUUACUAAAAACACAGGUCCGUGCGAAGCCGUAAGGCGAUGUAUACGGACUGACGCCUGCCCGGUGCUGGAACGUUAAGGGGACCGGUUAGUCACAUUUCGGUGUGGCGAAGCUGAGAACUUAAGCGCCAGUAAACGGCGGUGGUAACUAUAACCAUCCUAAGGUAGCGAAAUUCCUUGUCGGGUAAGUUCCGACCUGCACGAAUGGCGUAACGACUUCUCGACUGUCUCAACCAUAGGCCCGGUGAAAUUGCACUACGAGUAAAGAUGCUCGUUUCGCGCAGCAGGACGGAAAGACCCCGGGACCUUUACUACAGUUUGAUAUUGGUGUUCGGUUCGGCUUGUGUAGGAUAGCUGGGAGACUUUGAAGCAGCCACGCCAGUGGUUGUGGAGUCGUCGUUGAAAUACCAGUCUGGUCGUGCUGGAUGUCUAACCUGGGUCCGUGAUCCGGAUCAGGGACAGUGUCUGAUGGGUAGUUUAACUGGGGCGGUUGCCUCCUAAAGAGUAACGGAGGCGCCCAAAGGUUCCCUCAGCCUGGUUGGCAAUCAGGUGUUGAGUGUAAGUGCACAAGGGAGCUUGACUGUGAGACCGACGGGUCGAGCAGGGACGAAAGUCGGGACUAGUGAUCCGGCGGUGGCUUGUGGAAGCGCCGUCGCUCAACGGAUAAAAGGUACCCCGGGGAUAACAGGCUGAUCUUCCCCAAGAGUCCAUAUCGACGGGAUGGUUUGGCACCUCGAUGUCGGCUCGUCGCAUCCUGGGGCUGGAGUCGGUCCCAAGGGUUGGGCUGUUCGCCCAUUAAAGCGGUACGCGAGCUGGGUUUAGAACGUCGUGAGACAGUUCGGUCCCUAUCCGCUGCGCGCGCAGGAAUAUUGAGAAGGGCUGUCCCUAGUACGAGAGGACCGGGACGGACGAACCUCUGGUGUGCCAGUUGUUCUGCCAAGGGCAUGGCUGGUUGGCUACGUUCGGGAGGGAUAACCGCUGAAAGCAUCUAAGCGGGAAGCCUGCUUCGAGAUGAGUAUUCCCACCCACUUGAUGGGGUAAGGCUCCCAGUAGACGACUGGGUUGAUAGGCCGGAUCUGGAAGCCCAGUAAUGGGUGGAGGUGACCGGUACUAAUAGGCCGAGGGCUUGUCCUCAGUUG